rfam:Xenopus laevis strain J chromosome 4L, whole genome shotgun sequence.
CUGACAUAAUGAUGAACACAUAGUUCAGCAGACUAACACUGAUGAACUUGUCUUUCGCUCCUAUCUGAUGUGUUGG